AGAGUUUGAUCCUGGCUCAGAUUGAACGCUGGCGGCAUGCCUAACACAUGCAAGUCGAACGGCAGCACAGUGGAGCUUGCUCCAUGGGUGGCGAGUGGCGGACGGGUGAGUAAUGCAUCGGGACCUACCUAGACGUGGGGGAUAACGUAGGGAAACUUACGCUAAUACCGCAUACGUCCUACGGGAGAAAGCAGGGGACCUUCGGGCCUUGCGCGGUUAGACGGACCGAUGUUCGAUUAGCUUGUUGGUGAGGUAAUGGCUCACCAAGGCGACGAUCGAUAGCUGGUCUGAGAGGAUGAUCAGCCACACUGGAACUGAGACACGGUCCAGACUCCUACGGGAGGCAGCAGUGGGGAAUAUUGGACAAUGGGCGCAAGCCUGAUCCAGCAAUGCCGCGUGUGUGAAGAAGGCCUUCGGGUUGUAAAGCACUUUUAUCAGGAGCGAAAUACUACCGGCUAAUACCCGGUGGGGCUGACGGUACCUGAGGAAUAAGCACCGGCUAACUUCGUGCCAGCAGCCGCGGUAAUACGAAGGGUGCAAGCGUUAAUCGGAAUUACUGGGCGUAAAGCGUGCGUAGGCGGUUUGUUAAGUCUGCUGUGAAAUCCCCGGGCUCAACCUGGGAAUGGCAGUGGAUACUGGCAAGCUAGAGUGUGUCAGAGGAUGGUGG
rnacentral:rRNA from 1 species